UAUAGCGGCACCUCAACCCAAAAAGGAAAAAAGUCUCUCCUUCGAGGCUCUGCUAAUUCAUUGUCUGUUCAAAUUAAUGGGAACCCGCGACGAUGAUUCAUUUCCCACCGGAAGGAGAGGAAGCCCCGGCAAAAUUUUUAUAGGAGGAAUACCAAGAGAAACGACAAGAGUACAAUUUUUCAAGCAUUUUCAUAAAUAUGGUGAAAUCAAGGAUUCCGUUAUAAUGCUAGACCCGAGAACCGGGAUAGCACGUGGAUUCGGGUUUGUUACGUAUGAAAAUCCCUCUGUAAUUGAUAAAGUUAUCGAGGACGCUCAUGUAAUCAAUGGAAAACAAGUAGUUAUUAAGAGAACAAUACCAAAGGGAGUUGUUGGGACUAAGGAUUUCAAGACUAGAAGGACUUUCAUUUCUGGAAUUCCUUCAAGACUGACUGAAGAUGAGUUUAAAGACUUGUUUAAACAGUUUGGAGAGGUCAAGGAACACGGAAUCGUGCGAGAUAAUAAUGCCAGUUUCCUUGGUUUUGGAUUUAUUACUUUUGGCACGGAGCAAUCUGUUGAUGACCUCUUAGCCAAGAGGAACAAGGUUGAACUGGAUGGAGGAUCGCAGAUUCUAUUGCAUAAGGUGUAUGCUAGAUGGGAACGUCCUCCUAGGAGAUUCUUCAAGCUCAACUCUGAUGGGUCUUCUGCUGGCAAUCCUGGAAAGGCAGGAGCUGGUGGUAUUAUAAGAAAUGAUCAGGGGGAAUGGAUUGUGGGGUACUCUAGGAAAUUGGGCCAAGCAACCAGUACUUGUGCGGAACUUUGGGGGGUUAGGGAUGGAUUGCAAUUAGCUGUGAAGCGAGGACUUUUCUAUGUUAUUAUAGAAGUGGACUCGCAGGUUGUUUUGGAUCUAAUCUGUAAAGAAGCGGUUGAUUCCCAUACACUAGGCCCUAUUAUUAAGGAGUGCAGGUCGUUACUUGAGCAAAUUCCUAAUCACAGGUUCUGCCAAAUCAAUAGAGAUAGCAAUUCUUGUGCAGAUCAUCUGGCAAGAAUGGGAGCAACGAUGACCAAAGACUUUGUUAUAUUUGAGUUUCCCCCAGAUUGUGUUAGACUGUUGUUAUUUGCUGAGUCCUUGGAACCAGAAGACAAUGAUGUUAUACUCGGUGGAGAAACUAAUGAAUUUAAAUCUUUGAACCACACAAAGGAUGACGACUCUCUGCCUCAGACCAAAUGUGGAGCAAGUCCUGGGUACAUCUCUUUCAACGUGGUUGGUGUCUGUCUUUCUGAUAAACAAAAUUUUUGUUGGAGGUUUAGCAAGAGAUACAACAUCUGUUUCUUGAGCAUUUUGGCAAAUAUGGUGAAAUUGUGGAUUCUGUGAGAAUGAAGAAGAAAGAAACAGGGCAGCAUCGUGGAUUUGGUUUUGUGACAUUUGCAGAUCCUUCUGUUGUUGAUAAAGUUAUUAAGGACACUCAUAUUAUUAAUGGGAAACAAGUAGGGAUUAAGAGAACAAUACCUAAGGGAGCUAUAGGAACUAAGGAUUUCAAGACUAAGAAGAUUUUUGUGGGUGGAAUUCCAUUGGGAGUGUCUGAAG